AUCCAACCGAGUCUCACAUAGGAUGAAACGCGCGUCAUGGAU
rnacentral:hammerhead_ribozyme from 1 species